UACGAAGGGGACUAGCGUUGUCCGGAAUUACUGGGCGUAAAGCGCACGUAGGCGGAUUUGUUAGUCAGGGGUGAAAUCCCGGGGCUCAACCUCGGAACUGCCUUUGAUACUGCAAGUCUCGAGUCCGAUAGAGGUGGGUGGAAUUCCUAGUGUAGAGGUGAAAUUCGUAGAUAUUAGGAAGAACACCGGUGGCGAAGGUGGCCCACUGGAUCGGUACUGACGCUGAGGUGCGAAAGCGUGGGGAGCAAACAGG
rnacentral:rRNA from 1 species